rnacentral:tRNA from 1 species
GCUAGUGUAGUUUAACUAAAAGCAUGGUAUUGAAGGUGCCAAGAUAAAAAUUAACUUUUUUCACCAGCA